rnacentral:rRNA from 1 species
CGGACGGGUGAGUAACACGUGGAUAACCUACCUAUAAGACUGGGAUAACUUCGGGAAACCGGAGCUAAUACCGGAUAAUAUAUUGAACCGCAUGGUUCAAUAGUGAAAGACGGUUUUGCUGUCACUUAUAGAUGGAUCCGCGCCGCAUUAGCUAGUUGGUAAUGUAACGGCUUACCAAGGCAACGAUGCGUAGCCGACCUGAGAGGGUGAUCGGCCACACUGGAACUGAGACACGGUCCAG